AGCUAACCAGCCCUCUGCAACACAGCAAGUGACCAGUGUCAUUGACUUAGAUAGUGUUGCCACAGUGAACCAGACUCCAUCAGCUAGCAAUGACGACUACCUUUCGAUCAUGGGUUCCAUCUCCGACCUUUCUUCUGAUGAUGACGACGAAUUAAACCAGGCUAUAAUGGCCAGUCUUGAGAGUCAUGCGGAAUCUCAACACCAAAACACUAAAUCAGCACAGGAGGUGCUCCUCAGUCUUGCAUUCCAAAUUGACAGUAACCAAAGAUGCAGAUUCAGCAUUAAUAGAUCUUCAGUAUUGGAUGGUGCUCUGUGGGGCUUUAGGCGAUUGUCCUAUAAUCCCAGGUACCAGAUGUGUAUCAAGUUUUCAGAUGACUUGGGAAUGGAUGAAGAGGCUGUGGACCUUUGUGGCCCUCGGAGUUACGGUUGCUCAUGGAAGCUCUAGCACUGUCACCAAUGUUUGAAGGAAGAGAUGGCAAGUUGGACUUGGCUUUGGACAGUUCAGCUUUAAGAGAAGAUCAAUAUUUUAUCACUGGCCAGGCCAUUGCUGCAAGUCUUGUCCAUGGGAGGAUUCAUUGCACCAACACUGUAUUCUCGUGUAGUUGAUGCCAAUUCCUCAAAGCCUGUCUUGGAAGACAUUGCUGAUACAGACCUCUAUGAGAAGGUUCAAAAGGUGUCGGAAUGUACGCCUUUGGAUGACCUAAUUGACGCUACUGAACCACUGCAAGAUUACCUGGCAAAUGCUGGGUGUCUCAAGCCAUUGAAAUGCAUUGACGACAAAGAUCUUCUGGUUCAAGAUAUUCUGAUGUUUCAGGUGAUCCACAGAGUCUGCGGGGCAUUUGAAAGAUUUCGGGAGGGGCUGAAGACUCUUGGUGUUCUGGAUGCAAUCAGAAUGCAUCCAGACAGUUUUAGACUCUUAAUGUGUCACAAACCGUCCCCACUCACUGCUGACUUAAUGGAUCACCUUUUCCACAUCCGGCUGUCUGCAGUGGGAAGCAACAAGAGAAGGGCAGAGGAACAUGUUGUUCCAUUUUGGAGGGAUUACCUACAAGAUGUUGAAGAUAAAUAUUGCUGCUAGAUAUGGCACUGUCUCUCAUGUUUUUGUCAUGUUUACAAAGUGUACAGAUACUUGGC